rnacentral:rRNA from 1 species
GACGAACGCUGGCGGCGUGCUUAACACAUGCAAGUCGAACGGAAAGGCCCUGCUUUUGUGGGGUGCUCGAGUGGCGAACGGGUGAGUAACACGUGAGUAACCUGCCCUUGACUUUGUGAUAACUUCAGGAAACUGGGGCUAAUACCGGAUAGGAGCUCCUGCUGCAUGGUGGGGGUUGGAAAGUUUCGGCGGUUGGGGAUGGACUCGCGGCUUAUCAGCUUGUUGGUGGGGUAGUGGCUUACCAAGGCUUUGACGGGUAGCCGGCCUGAGAGGGUGACCGGCCACAUUGGGACUGAGAUACGGCCCAGACACCUACGGGAAGCAGCAGUGGGGAAUAUUGCACAAUGGGCGGAAGCCUGAUGCAGCAACGCCGCGUGGGGGAUGACGGCCUUCGGGUUGUAAACCGAUUUCGCCUGUGACGAAGCGUGAGUGACGGUAAUGGGUAAAGAAGCACCGGAUAACUACGUG